ensembl:lncRNA
UAAAAUGCAGCAUUCCAGUGCAUCCCAACCAUGCCUUUACAGUCAAGGUUUCUGACGGAGCUGAGUUUCUCUCUGACAGUCUGCUGAAAGUGUUUGCAAAGUGAUCGGGGGAACAGUGCACAAAGCUAAAGGAUGUAGCUGCCAUGAUGACAGAUGACAUUAAUGCUCAAAGGGGGUCUCAUCAAAGUGCUCCGCAUCUGUGUGAAAGACAAUUGCAACAUCUUGGUGCAGGAGUUCAUGGACUUGACUGAGGCCACUGCACAGAUUGAGAAAACCACAAUGAACAUCUGUCUCCAGAGAUGCGCCAGGCAAUGACUUUUCUGAUGUUGGCAUCAUCAUCGAGGGUAUAGUAGUUCUUCAAGAUCUGGAUAACGUGACCUUUGCAGUAGCCAUGCUGUUUGGACCUUUUUUAUUCCUUCAAUAUGAGUUACCCAUCACAGCUCUGCUACACUUUUGAGGUGAUUCAAUGGGUGGUAAUGGAGUUGGAUGCAACUCAGCUCUCAAGAAAAGCUCACAACUAAGACAAAACUGCUCCUGCAAGGAAAGCUCACUGUUAUGCAUGCAAGGUGAUCAGCUCUAGGUGAGAGGACAUUUAAAUCUCACACUUGUUCUGCUGCAUUUUUGAAGCUCAAUUCCAGGAGCAGAUCGCAGGGUUCAUUUUUAUAUACUCUGCAACUGCCAUGAGGACAAGCUGUUUUUGUUGUUGUUGUUUGUUUUUCCUUUUGCUCUGUACAAGUUCUCUGUUUGUCUGUUUGGCAGCAUUUUUCAAUUUCUGUUUGUAUUUUUUCUUUCUUUUACUAGUGAAGAGAUGUAGCGUGAACAGUUAUACAGUCUAAAUAUCCCAUAUGGGUCGUGUGAAAUGGUAUUUUCAGUUUCAUUCAGUUGAAGUAAAGAACGUUGAAUAUUUCUAAGUAUGCUGUUUUGAACCAAGAUGUCACAGUAUGAUCAGUGCUGUAAUUUUUGACAGUCACUGUAUCAAUGUUAUUUUUGCGUCUCUUGAAUAAAGUUUUUGACCUGCAA